UACGUAGGGGGCAAGCGUUGUCCGGAAUCAUUGGGCGUAAAGCGCGUGUAGGCGGUCCGGUAAGUCCGCUGUGAAAGUCGGGGGGCUCAACCCUCGGAUGCCGGUGGAUACUGUCGGGCUUGAGUACGGAAGAGGCGAGUGGAAUUCCUGGUGUAGCGGUGAAAUGCGCAGAUAUCAGGAGGAACACCAAUUGCGAAGGCAGCUCGCUGGGACGUUACUGACGCUGGAGACGCGAAAGCGUGGGGAGCAAACAGG
rnacentral:rRNA from 1 species